UCAGGGGUGCCCAGCACCAGGCCAGGGGCAGUGGGCACCAAGGGGCAGGCAGGAGGCUCCCUCAGAGCACCAGGCUAUUUCACAUAAUUUAUUCCCUCUUUCCCCUCCCCCGGCCGCCAUUUUGGGCGUCCCCGGGGCGGGCGCUCGGAGCCUUCAGCCCCGUGUCCGCCAUCGGCCGGGGCUGUGACAUAGGCGAGCGGGGCGAGCUGGACCUGAGCGGGGCCAGGCACAGCACCAGCAUGUGGCUUGGCAAGGAAGGACUCAGUGCCCAACACCAUGAAAGCAUCCUUUGCAUCUGUGAAAUCCCAGGUGUAUUAAAGGAGAGCUUAAUUCAUGGUAAGCUAGAGCUUUUCUUGAACCCGUCUCUGGGUUUGGGGGGUUCACCGCUGUCCUUGCCAUGGCCUGAGCUCACGUUCGUGCUUGUAGCUGGAUUUUGAUUUCCCCCCCUCAGAUCCUGGUCAUAACAUCGCUACAGCGGGGCUGCACUGGUCAGGUUGUCCUUCAGCUCAGAGAACAUAAUGAGAGUAAUUCAGUUCACGUCACAUUACAUUUGGUUGCCCAAAAGCUCAGAGAGUGGAGAUCAUCCUAAAUCCAGCCUCUGCCUGAUGCAUUGUGAGGAUUCUGUCACCUGGAUAUUUCUGCAGGUGAUAAUUGUUUGGGUUUUCAUAAGCUUUGAGGAAUAUGAUGGCAGAUUAUUAAAGAGCUCUUUCCAGUGCAGCACGCACAGUUUGUAGUCUGCUUUGAGCUGUGCUCACCAUUGGAAAUAAAUUCUCACCUUUGUGUGUUCCUGGAGGUAGCUUACUUAUCACACUGCUUGCUGAGUUGCUGUCCAAAACCAAAUCAGUGACGUUAAAAGGCAUCACAAAACCUUUCUUCUCUCUUCCCUCCUCCAAGGGAAAGCAAACUGAAGUUGAUAGCAGUUUGCUGAUGCUGUGCCUUUUAGGGCAGUGAAGCUGUAGUGCAAGACAAGAAGGAGCAAACAUGGCCUUGGUGCUGGAGAAAGAGU
rnacentral:lncRNA from 1 species